rnacentral:rRNA from 1 species
CCUCUUUCAGCAGGGAAGAAGCGAAAGUGACGUACUGCAGAGAAGNCCGGCAAAUNCGGCCCGCAGNCGNNGUAAUNGUAGGNGCNNGNUUGUNGGAAUUAUNGNNGUAAGANNUCGUGGCUGCUGUCACGUCGGAUGUAAAGCCNNGGCNAAUUGCGGUCUGCNUNGAUNNNGCUAGCUAGAGUUNGUAGNGAGAUCNGAAUUCNNGGUGUAGCGNNNAAUGCGCAGAUAUCNGAGGAACACCNGNGGCGAAGGCGGAUCUCUGGGCCANNACUGACGCUGAGGAGCGAAAGCGUGGGGAGCGAACAGGAUUAGAUACCCUGGUAGUCCACGCCGUAAACGUUNNGAACUAGGUGUUUGAGACAUUCCACGUCGUCGGUGCCGCAGCUAACGCAUUAAGUUCCCCGCCUGGGGAGUACGGCCGCAAGGCUAAAACUCAAAGGAAUUGACGGGGGCCCGCACAAGCAGCGGAGCAUGUGGCUUAAUUCGACGCAACGCGAAGAACCUUACCAAGGCUUGACAUAUACCGGAAACGGCUAGAGAUAGUCGCCCCCUUGUGGUCGGUAUACCUGGGGUGCAUGGCGGUCGUCAGCUCGUGUCGNGAGAUNUUGGGUUAAGUCCCGCAACGAGCGCAACCCNUNUUCUGUGUUNCCANCAUGCCCUUNGGGGUGAUGGGGACUCACAGGAGACUGCCGGGGUCAACUCGGAGGAAGGUGGGGANGACGUCAAGUCAUCAUNCCCCUUAUGUCUUGGGCUGCACACGUGCUACAAUGGCCGGUACAAAGAGCUGCGAUGCCGCGAGGCGGAGCGAAUCUCAAAAAGCCGGUCUCAGUUCGGAUUGGGGUCUGCAACUCGACUCGACCCCAUGAAGUCGGAGUUGCUAGUAAUCGCAGAUCAGCAUUGCUGCGGUGAAUACGUUCCCGGGCCUUGUACACACCGCCCGUCACGUCACGAAAGUCGGUAACACCCGAAGACCGGUGGCCCAACCCC